UCUGGCUCUGCUUCUUCUCCCCAACUCCUCUCUGUUGGUGUCCCCCAAGAUUCAGUCCUUGGUCCCCUACUGUUCUCCAUCUAUACUACCUCCCUUGGUAAACUCAUUAGCUCCUUUGGCUUCCAAUAUCAUUUCUAUGCAGAUGACACGCAAAUCUACCUGUCCUCUCCUGAUCUCUCCCUGUCCCUCUUGACUAGUGUCUCUGACUGCCUCUCUGCUGUUUCUAACUGGAUGGCUGCCCACUUCCUUAAACUAAAUUUGACCAAAACUGAAAUUCUGGUCUUUCCUCCCUCAAGUGUUGUUACUCCUGUGUCUGUCUCCCUCCAAGUCAACGGUGCUACCAUCAGCUCCACCACGCAGGCUCGCUGCCUAGGUGUUCUCUUUGACUCCGACCUCUCCUUCAAG